GAUGAAGAACGCAGCGAAAUGCGAUACGAAAUGUGAAUUGCAGAAUUCAGUGAAUCAUCGAGUCUUUGAACGCACAUUGCGCCCCCUGGUAUUCCGGGGGGCAUGCCUGUCCGAGCGUCAUUGCUGCCCUCAAGCACGGCUUGUGUGUUGGGCCUCCGUCCUCCUCCCGGGGGACGGGCCCGAAAGGCAGCGGCGGCACCGCGUCCGGUCCUCGAGCGUAUGGGGCUUCGUCACCCGCUCUUGUAGGCCCGGCCGGCGCUUGCCGACACAUCAAUCUUUUUUCCAGGUUGACCUCGGAUCAGGUAGGGAUACCCGCUGAACUUAAGCAUAUCAAUAAGCGGAGGA
rnacentral:misc_RNA from 1 species